rnacentral:rRNA from 1 species
GACGAACGCUGGCGGCGUGCUUAACACAUGCAAGUCGAACGGAAAGGCCCUGCUUUUGUGGGGUGCUCGAGUGGCGAACGGGUGAGUAACACGUGAGUAACCUGCCCUUGACUUUGGGAUAACUUCAGGAAACUGGGGCUAAUACCGGAUAGGAGCUCCUGCUGCAUGGUGGGGGUUGGAAAGUUUCGGCGGUUGGGGAUGGACUCGCGGCUUAUCAGCUUGUUGGUGGGGUAGUGGCUUACCAAGGCUUUGACGGGUAGCCGGCCUGAGAGGGUGACCGGCCACAUGGGGACUGAGAUACGGCCCAGUCUCCUACGGGAGGCAGCAGUGGGGAAUAUUGCACAAUGGGCGGGAGCCUGAUGCAGCAGCGCCGCGUGCGGGAUGACGGCCUUCGGGUUGUAAACCGCUUUCGCCUGUGACGAAGCGUGAGUGACGGUAAUGGGUAAAGAAGCACCGGCUAACUACGUG